CUGGAAGCUGAUAAGCAACCUGGAAGCUGAGAAUCAAUGUUUUCUAACAUUCAGCUGCUGUGAAUCCAAGGUGACAGAAUAUGCACAGACAUGCUUUGGCUGCCUUGGUCCCAGGAUUUCAACUGCUAAAGUCAACUUUUGAGCAGCAGCUGUCUCUCUGUUUUGAAAGGGUCGAAAUCUCCAAGCGCUGGGCACACUGAGUCCCACAUUAAUGGAAAUUUUUGUCUGAAAUAUUGGAUUAAAAUAAGGAGACUCAGAAUGGACUGAAGCUGAAGAAGGAAAAAAAGCCAUGCUGAUCUACAGAGUGAAGAAUAAGAACAAAAUAUCAUGUUUCGGUGUAGUAGUGUACUUUGAUUACCUAAAAGAUAAAAGUGCCAGACUUCUGCACAGACUUCGUAUAUGACACUAAUUCUCUGAAGUUGUUGUUGUAUAAAAGGAUGUUUAGGGAUGCUGGAAAAGCGAACCUCUGCAUUAUUAACAAAACACCAAGCUUUCAUAUUAUGAAGGGAAGGUAUCAUAGUCAAUUGUACUUUCUUUCUCUCUUUUUUUUAAAAAAGCUGGGCUGGUAUUCCAGACUAGCAAAGCAAACACUGUAGAAACGAAUGACCUUCUUACUGCAAUUAAAAAGAAAGAAAAAUA